CCGGCGCACGGUGAGUAACGCGUAUGCAACUUGCCUAUCAGGAGGGGAUAACCCGGCGAAAGUCGGACUAAUACCGCAUGAAGCAGGGGCCCCGCAUGGGGAUAUUUGCUAAAGAUUCAUCGCUGAUAGAUAGGCAUGCGUUCCAUUAGGCAGUUGGCGGGGUAACGGCCCACCAAACCGACGAUGGAUAGGGGUUCUGAGAGGAAGGUCCCCCACAUUGGAACUGAGACACGGUCCAA
rnacentral:rRNA from 1 species